AUUGAACGCUGGCGGCAGGCCUAACACAUGCAAGUCGAGCGAGCGGGGGACGGGAGAGCAAUGUAUGGGCAUGUGCGCGAGAGAGGGGGAUAAGUAACGGAAACGGAGGCCAAUACCGCCUAGUAUCGGAUGAACCGAGAUGGGAUUAGCUAGUGGGUGGGGUAAAGGCUCACCAAGGCGACGACCUCUAGCUGGUCUGAGAGGAUGAACAGCCACACUGGAACUGAGACACGGUCCAGACUCCUACGGGAGGCAGCAGUGGGGAAUAUUGCACAAUGGGCGCAAGCCUGAUGCAGCCAUGCCGCGUGUGUGAAGAAGGUCUUAGGAUUGUAAAGUACUUUCAGCGGGGAGGCGUUACCAACAGAAGAAGCACCGGCUAACUCCGUGCCAGCAGCCGCGGUAAUAC
rnacentral:rRNA from 1 species